GAUUUCAACUGAAAAGUCAUCAAUAACAAAGUUGUAUAACUCAUCAGUAUCUAUAAAUUUUAUUUUGGUCAUUUCUUUAUCCGAUAAAGUGAUACUAACAUUCUUCACAAAAUUACAUAUCUCUGUUAUAGUUUAUAAACUAUAUAAGAGAUAUGUACAUUUUGUGAACAAUGUUACAAAUCACUUUCUCGGAUGAAGAAAUGACUGAAAUAAAAGUUAUAGAUCUUGAUGAGUUAUACCACUUUGUUAUUGAUGACUUUUUCAGUUAAAAUC
rnacentral:pre_miRNA from 1 species